rnacentral:rRNA from 1 species
UAGGGAAUCUUCCGCAAUGGACGCAAGUCUGACGGAGCAACGCCGCGUGAGUGAAGAAGGAUUUCGGUUCGUAAAACUCUGUUGUUAGAGAAGAACAGCGCAUAGAGUAACUGUUAUGCGUGUGACGGUACCUAACCAGAAAGCCACGGCUAACUACGUGCCAGCAGCCGCGGUAAUACGUAGGUGGCAAGCGUUGUCCGGAUUUAUUGGGCGUAAAGCGAGCGCAGGCGGUCAAUUAAGUCUGAUGUGAAAGCCCCCGGCUCAACCGGGGAGGGUCAUUGGAAACUGGUUGACUUGAGUGCAGAAGAGGAGAGUGGAAUUCCAUGUGUAGCGGUGAAAUGCGUAGAUAUAUGGAGGAACACCAGUGGCGAAGGCGACUCUCUGGUCUGUAACUGACGCUGAGGCUCGAAAGCGUGGGUAGCAAACAGG